AAAGUAAAGUGUGAUUAGCUUGAGCUCGAGUCUAGUCUUCCUUAGCCAAUCUCAUGGAUUUAAAGGUAACCAGUAGGUGGGAGACCUUUACUCUAGGACGGGAAGGAACGGCAUUAGCCAGCGGUAGUUUUAUUAUCCUUGCAGUCGUUUUGAUAUACUUUAUGUAUAAGGUUUGUUGACCGAAACCCUCGAGGUUAAUCUAUAAGAUUUUGUAAGAUUCUUUUAAAUGAAUAAGUAUAUAGUGUAUAAAGAAUGUUUUUAAAGUA